rnacentral:rRNA from 1 species
CGGCGUGCCUCAGACUGCAAGUCGAACGAUUAUUCUUUCCUUCGCGAAAGAUAUAAAGUGGCGCACGGGUGAGUAACACGUAGGUAAUCUACCUUUGAGUGGGGAAUAACGUUCGGAAACGAACGCUAAUACCGCAUAAUGCAGCGGCACCGCAAGUUGACAGUUGUUAAAGGAGCAAUCCGCUUAAAGAGGAGCCUGCGGCAGAUUAGGUAGUUGGUAAGGUAAUGGCUUACCAAGCCUGCGAUCUGUAACCGACCUGAGAGGGUGGUCGGUCACACUGACACUGAAUAACGGGUCAGACUCCUACGGGAGGCAGCAGUCGGGAAUUUUGGGCAAUGGGCGAAAGCCUGACCCAGCGACGCCGCGUGAAGGAUGAAGUAUUUCGGUAUGUAAACUUCGAAAGAAUGGGAAGAAUAAAUGACGGUACCAUUUAUAAGGUCCGGCUAACUACGUGCCAGCAGCCGCGGUAAUACGUAGGGACCAAGCGUUGAUCGGAUUUACUGGGCGUAAAGGGCGCGUAGGCGGCGUGUUAAGUCAGCUGUGAAAUCUCCGACCUUAACUCGGAACGGUCAGCUGAUACUGAUGUGCUAGAGUGCAAAAGG